rnacentral:rRNA from 1 species
CCUACGGGGGGCAGCAGUGGGGAAUAUUGGGCAAUGGGCGCAAGCCUGACCCAGUAACGCCGCGUGAAGGAAGAAGGCUUUCGGGUUGUAAACUUCUUUUGUCAGGGAAGAGUAGAAGACGGUACCUGACGAAUAAGCCACGGCUAACUACGUGCCAGCAGCCGCGGUAAUACGUAGGUGGCAAGCGUUGUCCGGAUGUACUGGGUGUAAAGGGCGUGUAGCCGGGUUGACAAGUCAGAUGUGAAAUCCUGCGGCUUAACCGAAGAACUGCAUUUGAAACUGUUGAUCUUGAGUACUGGAGAGGCAGACGGAAUUCCUAGUGUAGCGGUGAAAUGCGUAGAUAUUAGGAGGAACACCAGUGGCGAAGGCGGUCUGCUGGACAGCAACUGACGGUGAGGCGCGAAAGCGUGGGGAGCAAACAGGAUUAGAUACCCGAGUAGUC